UACGUAGGUGGCGAGCGUUAUCCGGAAUGAUUGGGCGUAAAGGGUGCGUAGGCGGCCUGCUAAGUCUGGAGUGAAAGGUACCGGCUCAACCGGUACAGGCUCUGGAAACUGGCGGGCUGGAGAGCAGGAGAGGGCGGUGGAACUCCAUGUGUAGCGGUAAAAUGCGUAGAUAUAUGGAAGAACACCAGUGGCGAAGGCGAUUCUCUGGACUGUAACUGACGCUGAGGCUCGAAAGCGUGGGGAGCAAACAGG
rnacentral:rRNA from 1 species